AGGACGAACGCUGGCGGCGUGCUUAACACAUGCAAGUCGAGCGGUGAUCCUCCUUCGGGAGGUGAUCAGCGGCGAACGGGUGAGUAACACGUGGGCAACCUGCCCCUCACACUGGGAUAACCUCGGGAAACCGGGGCUAAUACCGGAUACGACCUCGAGCGGCAUCUCUUGAGGUGGAAAGCUCCGACGGUGAGGGAUCGGGCCCGCGGCCUAUCAGCUUGUUGGUGGGUAAUGGCCUACCAAGGCGACGACGGUA
rnacentral:rRNA from 1 species